UACAGCCAUAUCACAUUGAAACACCAGUUCUCAUACAAUCACCAAAGUUAAGCAAUGUCAAGCCUGGUCAAUACCUAGAUGGGUGACCAUUUGGGAAUACCAGGAAGUGUA